AAUGGAAGAAGAAUACUACAAGGAUGAGGAUGGAGAGUAAAAGCCCUGUAAUUUGUAUGCCAGUGUUCAGCAUAUCAAGUUGCACUAGUAAUGGGAUCUUGUUGAGGGCGCCAUAGGUAACCUUCUUUAACAAGUCACCCAAUGUCGUGUUCAUGCCCACUGAUGUAACUAGCAUGCGACCUUUUCCAUCAAUUACCUUUGGACCAUGGAACAGAAAUGGGUUUUCGUUGUUAAUGGUGGAGUCAAGAUCAUCAUCCAGUUUUAUGUAUUCACCAACUACGAGCAAACCAUCAGCAGGGACUAGAGAUCCCCUCUCGAGGCAUACUAUGUCACCCAACCAAACAUCUGAGAUGGAUACUUUCUGUAACAUCCCGUUAGUUAAAAAAAAAAAAAAGUAAGUCAAUAUUUUGUGGACCACAGGUGCCCCCACCUAACCCCACUACCCAUCAUUCUCAUUCACUCAAUUUCAUCCACAUCUCUUCUCUCUUUUGGCCGGCCCUCUCUUUUCUUUCUUUCAUUUUCUCUCUUUUCAUUUUACUGAAACACACACACUCACCCGCCAGCCUCCACUCCAAAACACACCAUCUCACCAUCAUUUUUCCGGCAAGAUCACCGGAAAAAUACUUAGAAACUCCAAAGCAUCUUCAUCAUUUUAUUUGAGGUUCUAGCUAAUCUCCCCUUGGAGCUUGGAGAAUUAGGAUUUUGCGGUUGCGAGGGGGAAGAGGUUCCUUAAUUGUGUGUGGGUGAGGCUGCUGUCCAUGGGGCCAAGAGAUCACAUGCAAGAGAGGUCCUAUUUGACGUGCUCUCUCUGUUGUCCAUGGGGGGAGAGAAAAACCUUGAGGGUAUGGGUGAGGCUGCUGUCUAUGGGGCCAAGAGUCUGCAUACCAAAGAAGACAAUAUCAUGCCAGUUGUAAAUGGGUGGAUUCCCUGACUAGUUUAUGUGGUAGUGUGGUAGAUUUGUGAUAAUUUAUUAUAUGUUAGAUAUUACGGUUUUAGAAAUUAUA